UACGGAGGGUGCAAGCGUUAUCCGGAUUCACUGGGUUUAAAGGGUGCGUAGGUGGGUUGGUAAGUCAGUGGUGAAAUCCCCGAGCUUAACUUGGGAACUGCCAUUGAUACUAUCAGUCUUGAAUACUGUGGAGGUCAGCAGAAUAUGUCAUGUAGCGGCGAAAUGCUUAGAUAUGACAUAGAAUACCAAUUGCGAAGGCAGCUGGCUACACAAAUAUUGACACUGAGGCACGAAAGCGUGGGGAUCAAACAGG
rnacentral:rRNA from 1 species